ACUAAAAAUGCCCACGAGACGCGCAUCCUCCACUUCACAGCCAUGGCCUCGCAGCAGCCACCACCCUCGCCGCCGCUAUCCGUUCCGACCACCAUUAGCGCUCUCACGGACGACCUCCUCCGCGAGGUCUUUCUCCGCCUCCCUGACCUCCCGAGCCUUGUGUGCGCGGCCUUCACCUGCCGCGCCUUCCUCCGCGCCGUCCGCUCCUCUCCGCCCUUCCGCCGCCGCUUCCGCGAUCUCCACGCACCGCCCCUGCUCGCCCUCUUUCGCGAACCCGACAUGAGCGCUGUCGUCCCUGCCGCAAGCCGCAGCUCCGACCCGGCCAUCGCCGGCGCCUUCGCUGAUUUACUCCGAGACGACGACGCGUCCGAGUGGUGGACAUAUUCUCAGAUCCCCUACUCCGACGAGUUCGUCCAAUUCGUCAACCGGAGCACCGAGCGGGUUGUCUCCUACAACCCCCACAUGCCGUCUCUGGCUAUCUUCCCCAAGAAGCCUCACGAUGAACCCUACCUUGAGUUCCACACGCUCCCUCCCGACCAAGAGCACCAGAGCCCAUCCCGUGUGGUCUGUGUCCGUCACGAUUUCCAAUGGGCGUGCGCGCGCGUGGCCGUCUUCUCAUCUCACGCCAUGAAGUGGCAGAUCUUCCCGGAGUCUCGGAAGCCACUGCUUCAAGGCGACAUGCACACGAUUAGUACGGUUGUCGAUCGGUUCGUCUGUUGGUUAGAUCUGGAGGAAGACUGCAUUCUGGCGCUCAACACUGCCACCUUUCAGUUCUGUCGAAUGGAUCUGCCGCCCUCCUUGAGAGGGUCAUACUCAAAGAUUUAAGAUUGGUCAGACCAGGGAUGGGAGGCUCUGUAUGGUAAAUGUACAGGAAUGCACGCUUUCUGUUUGGCUUUGGACACCCGACGAUGUCGGCAUCGGCAGAUUCGUGCUGCACAAGAUGUUUCCAUUGCACGCAAUUGUCAAGGAGAUCACUAAGCGUCCAGUCAAGGAUAAUGUUGAUGUUGGAGAUCUUAUGGAGGUUAUUAGUGGGUUUGUGUACCUAUCUGUUGUCUACUCCAGGGACCCGCAAUCUUCUGAGUGGUUCCUAUCCUUCUGCCUGGAAACAGCAGAGGUGAACUUGCUCUUUAAGGAAACACGACGUUCUUACUGCCCUGUUGAUCCCUACAUCAUGGUCUGGCCUCCUUCUUUGAUACACAACAAGGAGGGCUCAGAAACUGAAGUUACUGGAGACAGUGCUGGAGCUGAUGGUCCGGUGCACACCAAAGAUGCUUCUCCUGUCCUCUUCACAGCAUUGCAAUCAUUCAAAGAAGCUUUGAUAGAUGGCGAUGGCACCAAAAUCGCGGAGAUGGAGGCCUUCUUACUUGAUGCUGAGCUCGGCUCUCUUCUGAACAGAAUCACUACUUUGGAUGUAGCAUUAGCAGCUGGGAGAGACCGUGUGUUGCGAAUAGGUGCUCGCUCUGAUAUUUGUAGGGAAGAGAUGGGGGGAGAGGGUUGGUGGCAAAUGUUCAAGGGGGUGUUGUGGAGAGCUUCUUCCCGCCUCUUUGCCAGUUGAUCUUGGAUUAAGCUUAGGUGGAAAUGUGUUGCUGAUUAAGUUAUUGGAUGGUGUGAAGUGUGAACUGAACUCAUUAGGUGCUAUCCCUCCGUUCCUAAA